rnacentral:rRNA from 1 species
GACGAACGCUGGCGGCGUGCUUAACACAUGCAAGUCGAACGGAAAGGCCCUGCUUUUGUGGGGUGCUCGAGUGGCGAACGGGUGAGUAACACGUGAGUAACCUGCCCUUGACUUUGGGAUAACUUCAGGAAACUGGGGCUAAUACCGGAUAGGAGCUCCUGCUGCAUGGUGGGGGUUGGAACGUCUCGGCGGUUGGGGAUGGACUCGCGGCUUAUCAGCUUGUUGGUGGGGUAGUGGCUUACCAAGGCUUUGACGGGUAGCCGGCCUGAGAGGGUGACCGGCCACAUUGGGACUGAGAUACGGCCCAGACUCCUACGGGAGGCAGCAGUGGGGAAUAUUGCACAAUGGGCGGAAGCCUGAUGCAGCAACGCCGCGUGCGGGAUGACGGCCUUCGGGUUGUAAACCGCUUUCGCCUGUGACGAAGCGUGAGUGACGGUAAUGGGUAAAGAAGCACCGGCUAACUACGUG